rnacentral:rRNA from 1 species
UCCAGACUCCUACGGGAGGCAGCAGUGGGGAAUAUUGCACAAUGGGGGAAACCCUGAUGCAGCGACGCCGCGUGAGUGGAGAAGUAAUUCGUUAUGUAAAGCCCUAUCAGCAGGGAAGAAGAAAUGACGGUACUUGAGUAAGAAGCACCGGCUAAAUACGUGCCAGCGGCCGCGGUAAUACGUAUGGUGCAAGCGUUAUCCGGAUUUACUGGGUGUAAAGGGAGCGCAGGCGGCACGGCAAGCCUGAUGUGAAAGCCCGCGGCCCAACCGCGGGACUGCAUUGGGAACUACCGGGCUGGAGUGCCGGAGAGGUAGGCGGAAUUCCUAGUGUAGCGGUGAAAUGCGUAGAUAUUAGGAGGAACACCAGUGGCGAAGGCGGCCUACUGGACGGUGACUGACGCUGAGGCUCGAAAGCGUGGGGAGCAAACAGGAUUAGAUACCCCUGUAA